UACGUAGGGGGCAAGCGUUGUCCGGAAUCAUUGGGCGUAAAGAGCGUGUAGGCGGCCAGAUAAGUCCGCUGUGAAAUCUCGAGGCUCAACUUCGAGCUGUCGGUGGAAACUGGCUGGCUAGAGGCCGGAAGAGGAGAAUGGAAUUCCUGGUGUAGCGGUGAAAUGCGCAGAUACCAGGAAGAACACCCGUGGCGAAGGCGGUUCUCUGGGACGGUACUGACGCUGAGACGCGAAAGCGUGGGGAGCGAACAGG
rnacentral:rRNA from 1 species